rnacentral:rRNA from 2 species
UACAUGUAAGUCGAACGAACUCUGGUAUUGAUUGGUGCUUGCAUCAUGAUUUACAUUUGAGUGAGUGGCGAACUGGUGAGUAACACGUGGGAAACCUGCCCAGAAGCGGGGGAUAACACCUGGAAACAGAUGCUAAUACCGCAUAACAACUUGGACCGCAUGGUCCGAGUUUGAAAGAUGGCUUCGGCUAUCACUUUUGGAUGGUCCCGCGGCGUAUUAGCUAGAUGGUGGGGUAACGGCUCACCAUGGCAAUGAUACGUAGCCGACCUGAGAGGGUAAUCGGCCACAUUGGGACUGAGACACGGCCCAAACUCCUACGGGAGGCAGCAGUAGGGAAUCUUCCACAAUGGACGAAAGUCUGAUGGAGCAACGCCGCGUGAGUGAAGAAGGGUUUCGGCUCGUAAAACUCUGUUGUUAAAGAAGAACAUAUCUGAGAGUAACUGUUCAGGUAUUGACGGUAUUUAACCAGAAAGCCACGGCUAACUACGUGCCAGCAGCCGCGGUAAUACGUAGGUGGCAAGCGUUGUCCGGAUUUAUUGGGCGUAAAGCGAGCGCAGGCGGUUUUUUAAGUCUGAUGUGAAAGCCUUCGGCUCAACCGAAGAAGUGCAUCGGAAACUGGGAAACUUGAGUGCAGAAGAGGACAGUGGAACUCCAUGUGUAGCGGUGAAAUGCGUAGAUAUAUGGAAGAACACCAGUGGCGAAGGCGGCUGUCUGGUCUGUAACUGACGCUGAGGCUCGAAAGUAUGGGUAGCAAACAGGAUUAGAUACCCUGGUAGUCCAUACCGUAAACGAUGAAUGCUAAGUGUUGGAGGGUUUCCGCCCUUCAGUGCUGCAGCUAACGCAUUAAGCAUUCCGCCUGGGGAGUACGGCCGCAAGGCUGAAACUCAAAGGAAUUGACGGGGGCCCGCACAAGCGGUGGAGCAUGUGGUUUAAUUCGAAGCUACGCGAAGAACCUUACCAGGUCUUGACAUACUAUGCAAAUCUAAGAGAUUAGACGUUCCCUUCGGGGACAUGGAUACAGGUGGUGCAUGGUUGUCGUCAGCUCGUGUCGUGAGAUGUUGGGUUAAGUCCCGCAACGAGCGCAACCCUUAUUAUCAGUUGCCAGCAUUAAGUUGGGCACUCUGGUGAGACUGCCGGUGACAAACCGGAGGAAGGUGGGGAUGACGUCAAAUCAUCAUGCCCCUUAUGACCUGGGCUACACACGUGCUACAAUGGAUGGUACAACGAGUUGCGAACUCGCGAGAGUAAGCUAAUCUCUUAAAGCCAUUCUCAGUUCGGAUUGUAGGCUGCAACUCGCCUACAUGAAGUCGGAAUCGCUAGUAAUCGCGGAUCAGCAUGCCGCGGUGAAUACGUUCCCGGGCCUUGUACACACCGCCCGUCACACCAUGAGAGUUUGUAACACCCAAAGUCGGUGGGGUAACCUUUUAGGAACCAGCCGCCUAAGGUGGGACAGAUGAUUAGGGUGAAGU